rnacentral:rRNA from 1 species
GGUAGUACCUUAAAGGAAAACCCACCUAUUGGCGGUUGAGUUUUACUAGAGGAACUCGCUUCGUAAUCGACAAUCCCCGAUCAUUUUCACUUGCCUUACAUGUUUAUAUACCGCCGUUUCAGAAACAGUAUCAAAUCAAGAUCAACAUCCUCAAAAAAUCAGGUCAAGGUGUAGCUCGGGCAAGAGCAAGUAAGUUACAUUAAAUAAAAUUUAUGGAAGCUAAUAAAGGAAAUUGAAAUAGGAUCUAGAAGUAAAACCCAGAUAAAAACCGGUUUUGCAAACAAACCACUCAACGC